UAGAGGAAGUAAAAGUCGUAACAAGGUUUCCGUAGGUGAACCUGCGGAAGGAUCAUUAAUGAAAUGAAUGUCGAGAGGGGUUGUAGCUGGCCUUUUGGGGCAUGUGCACACCUUGAUCGCACAUCCACCUCUCACACCUGUGCACUAUGUGUAGCUUGGGAUGAUUACAAUGUUGGAAACAAUGUUGAAAGCCCUAGCUAUGAAUUUUUAUACACCCAUAUAUAUAAAGUUAUAGAAUGGAUAGCGUAUAAUAGCGCAAAUAUAUACAACUUUCAGCAACGGAUCUCUUGGNUCUCGCAUCGAUGAAGAACGCAGCGAAAUGCGAUAAGUAAUGUGAAUUGCAGAAUUCAGUGAAUCAUCNAAUCUUUGAACGCACCUUGCGCUCCUUGGUAUUCCGAGGAGCAUGCCUGUUUGAGUGUCAUGAAAUUCUCAACUGCCCUUUUAGCAUUUAUGUUAAGGGUGAAGUUGGAGUUGGAGGAUAAUUGCUGGCGCAACUAAGGUUGCUUGUUGGCUCCUCUUGAAUGGAUGAGCUUUUCUGAUAGAUCAUAGCUCAGUAACACUAAUGUGAUAAUUAUCUACGUUAGAUGUGAAAGCUGUGAGUAGAGUGACUUCAAAUAUGAAGAUGCUCCUACAGAAAAGGUAUGUCUUGGGGGAAAACAAACCCCUGACUUUCAAAUACAAUGACAAAUCUGACCUCAAAUCAGGUAGGACUACCCGCUGAACUUAAGCAUAUCAAUAA
rnacentral:rRNA from 1 species